rnacentral:misc_RNA from 1 species
GAUAGCAAGUGGAACCUAAUCGGACGCAUGUUGUGUUGUGUACAAAAAGAAACGUCAAACUAAAGUCGAGCGAACCAAAACUAAACGGCCAAGAAAUAAGCAAACCCACUAUAAAACGGAAAGGAUAAGGCACAGGAAAUACGAUUGCUUACCAGAGAGAGCGGCGGACCCGUAGCGAACCGCUCCCCCAAAUAGCGGCUGUCCCAAAAAAUCGCCCACAAGAGAAUCCACCAAAAACCCAUUUGCCCACUCACACACACACACACACGCGCAGCCAAGGAGCAAAAGAAGAAUUGCGCCAGAAGAAGCAGCAGCAUAAAGAAUCUAGUAGUGCAAACACCCGGAUCCACAGGUACUCGUUCCAGAGAUUGGAACAGCGCCACAGGAACAGCCAAGCAGUCAGCAGAAGAUCACCAGUAUCAGCUACCAGUUAGCAUCAUAAUUGCCAGGAUGAGCAUGGAGAAAGUAGCCAACAAGCAGUACGAGACGAAAAACUGGCCAGAUAUCGUCGACAGCGACGACAGCGAUGUGGAUAACGAGAUAGAUGUGGACAACCUGCCGCCACUGGAGGUGGGUCCCGGCGAGAACCGGCUGCAGCACACAUACUGCCUCUGGUUCUCUCGCAAGGAGACGCAGCGGGCGGCCGCCGACUACAGCAAGUCGCUGCACAUGGUCGGCCGGUGCGCCAGCGUGCAGCAGUGGUGGUCGCUCUACUCGCACCUCAUCCGGCCCACAGCCCUGAAGCCCUACCGGGAGCUCCUCCUCUUCAAGCAGGGUAUCGUGCCGAUGUGGGAGGACCCGGCGAACAGCAAGGGCGGACAAUGGUUGAUACGGCUGCGCAAGAACAAGGUCGACCGGGCCUGGGAGAACGUUUGUAUGGCGAUGCUCGGGGAGCAGUUCCUCGUCGGCGACGAGAUAUGCGGAGUCGUGCUACAGACGAAAUAUCCGAAUCCAAGCAUCCAAGUAGCAUGCUCAUCAAGGCCUAUAAUCUGCAUUAUCUACACACGUUUUGUAGUAAAAUUCGGACAAUGCAAAAUCAUUAUAGUUACUAAUAACAAUAAACGCAAUGUGUAUGAGUUUUUGACAAUUAUUGUGAUUAAGAUACACGAAGAAAUGCUUUCGCUUCUAAGUAGGAAAUGCAAAUUUGUUAAUGCACCGCCAAACGUACUGGUCGAUUUCUGUUUUGAUCACACGAAAUUACCAACUGCAAAUGUCAGACCUGCAUUACAAGCACGUUUAUUUCUUAUUCAAUUCGUUAAUUCACCUUUUGAUCUUUUGAACGAGCAACGAAUAAAUGGGAAAUUGAAAACCCAAAACUGCAACUGCAACAACAGCAAUAGCGCAAAUCAGCACGUUUUCACCACAAAAACAAGAGCAACAACAACUGCAAAAAAAAAAAUAAUAAAACACCCAGUUAACCGCGUUCAGUGAAAAGAAAAUCAAAAGAAAUAUUACUACUUCGUAUUAUGUCAAUCAAUCAAACUGCGAUUUAAUUUCAACCACAUAAAAAUGCAAUCUAAAGGCCCGAAAAAAUUCGACAAACUCGAAAAAUUAUCGAAAAACGCGACUCCGCCCUGCCACGCCCUCACGUUCAUUGGGAAUUCCAGUCCGGGUUCCAGUGUUCCAGCGAUACAGACCCGCAGCUUCCAGUGCGAAUAAACAGCUGCAUUGCUCCAUUCCCACACGCUGAGAUAAAAACCGAACACAGCCGGCCAAUGCAUACAAAUGAGCGAAGGAGUCCUGGAGUCACGUAGCCACCAGGACGCACCUCAUCCCUUGGAGCGGCGGCGAAGCGGUGGCUCUAAUUAAGACAGGCCUGUCCUGGUCUGGGCCAAAAUUAAUGGAUCCCACGAGCGGCGGAGGAGCAUUUUCGGUGUUCACACAAAUUAAAUUCCAUCAAGUUUAUUUGCUGUAAAUGAGGCAGUGGCACAAAAGGAGUGGAAGUGCCGGGCCUAAUUUAAUUUGCCCACCCUUAACCCGUUGUGCCCCCAACACGUGUUGCCAUGUAACAACCAUUUGCCACUUAGAAGCGAAACAAUAGGCCUAUAGACAACUACACUUGGACACCCAGAUGCUAAAUCAGAUCGUUAGGUUUAUAUUCGUUGAAUUUUCCAUGUAAAUAGUCAUUAUAAUUAUUAUUGUGGUCUACGCUGGAUUAAAAUUCAGCGGUUAUCCCAGGAAAACCGAAAGUUGUAAACAUAAAUCUAAUAUUUAUUACGAAACUUCAUAUGUGUGCAUCUUGCAAAUGCUAUGAUUGUAAAAUUAAAAACGAAAUACAAAGCAAAGAGACGAAAGAGCAGAGGGCAAAUCUAUUAAUUAGUAAUUAUUAUAAUGUGAUGUUAUAUAUAUAAAUGAAUCUUUAACAAGAAACCUAAAGCAAGUAAAGCAGAAAAAUGAAAAAUAUACAAAACUGUUAACCAACGUAACAAAUUUCACUAAGUAGAUUUUUCGAAUUAAAUUUAAAUUAUAAUAAAUACAAAUUAUAGCAAGAAAAGCGGAUAAAAAACAAAAGAACUUUGCUGUAAACACGAUAUAAAACUGCGUUUUUCUACUAAAAAUGAAUAUGUAAAAUGAUUUUUCAAACUUAGAAUACCUACCCCAUAUUCCUAAUUAUAUAAAAACCAAUUAUACAUAUAUAAAUUACAAAUUCUAUGUAAAUGUUGUGCGUAUAUAAAGCAAAGCGUAGAAUCCCACAUUCAAAAUCUUUCAGUUAUUUAUUAUGUGUGUGCUAUAUCUUCUCUAUGUAUACAUAAAAAGAGCGCUUGGCUUCGACUAGCUAACAUUUUGGGCCUUAAACCAACCUACUCAAGCCGGGGCCUUGGUGUUCUUCUUAUUACCCAGCAUUCUUCAGAUCGAUAUAUCUAUAUACCCCUGGGGAGGGGAGCAACCCACACACUACUCGUUAUUCUAUAUCUACGUGAAUGUGUUCGUUUCUAAACUUGUAAAAAAGCACGCACCCCUCCCGCUCAGACACGAAAUGUUUGUAAAAUAUUGAAUGAGAGAAAACGAUGGAAAAUACGAAAUUAACCUAUAAUAUUAAUACGAUUUUCGAGAGUAAAGGAAGAAAACAUUUUAGUUUUUCUACUUGAAUCGCAUUUCUUCCACUUUUCACCAAUCAAAUCAAAUUUACAUGAAAAAAAAACGAUACGAAGAAUUGAAUUUUGAGUCUCUUCAAUCCUCAAGCUCAAAACCCAAACAAAAUAAAUACAAACUUAAAAAUAAUGAAGUUUCUAGGUUCUAUUAUUUAGUUGUCUUGUUAUUUAUAUGUUUAGCUUUAGUUCUUGUCUAAUUUAUUUAUAAGUUUUGGCUCCGCAAUAAAUACAGACAAUUAUA